rnacentral:rRNA from 1 species
GACGAACGCUGGCGGCGUGCUUAACACAUGCAAGUCGAACGGAAAGGCCCUGCUUUUGUGUGGUGCUCGAGUGGCGAACGGGUGAGUAACACGUGAGUAACCUUCCCUUGACUUUGGGAUAACUUCAGGAAACUGGGGCUAAUGCCGUAUUGGAGCUCCUGCUGCCUGGUGGGGGUUGGACAGUUUCGGCGGUUGGGGCUGGACUCGCGGCUUAUCAGCUUGUUGGUGGGGUAGUGGCUUACCAAGGCUUUGACGGGUAGCCGGCCUGAGAGGGUGACCAGCCACAUUGGGACUGAGAUACGGACCAGACUCCUACGGGAGGCAGAAGUGGGGAAUAUUGAACAAUGGGCGGAAGCCUGAUGCAGCAACGCCGCGUGCGGGAUGACGGCCUUCGGGUUGGAAACCGCUUUCGCCUGUGACGAAGCGUGAGUGACGGUAAUGGGUAAAGAAGCACCGGCUAACUACGUG